rnacentral:rRNA from 1 species
AGUCAAUAGAUACCCCCGGUAGUCCACGCCCUAAACGAUGUCUACUAGUUGUUGGUGGAGUAAAAUCCAUGAGUAAACGCAGCUAAACGCGUGAAGUAGACCGCCUGGGGAGUACGGUCGCAAGAUUAAAAACUCAAAGGAAUUGACGGGGGGCCCGCACAAGCGGUGGAUUAUGUGGAUUAAAUUCGAUGCAACGCGAAAAACCUUACCUGGCCUUGACAUGCCACUAACGAAGCAGAGAUGCAUUAGGUGCCCGUAAGGGAAAGUGGACACAGGUGCUGCAUGGCUGUCGUCAGCUCGUGUCGUGAGAUGUUGGG